GUAGGUGGCAAGCGUUGUCCGGAAUUAUUGGGCGUAAAGCGCGCGCAGGCGGUUCUUUAAGUCUGAUGUGAAAGCCCACGGCUCAACCGUGGAGGGUCAUUGGAAACUGGAGAACUUGAGUACAGAAGAGGAAAGCGGAAUUCCACGUGUAGCGGUGAAAUGCGUAGAGAUGUGGAGGAACACCAGUGGCGAAGGCGGCUUUCUGGUCUGUAACUGACGCUGAGGCGCGAAAGCGUGGGGAGCAAACAGGAUUAGAUACCCUGGUAGUCCACGCCGUAAACGAUGAGUGCUAAGUGUUAGGGGGUCUCCGCCCCUUAGUGCUGCAGCUAACGCAUUAAGCACUCCGCCUGGGAGUACGGCCGCAAGGCUG
rnacentral:rRNA from 1 species